AUUGAACGCUGGCGGCAUGCCUUACACAUGCAAGUCGAACGGUAACAGGUCUUCGGACGCUGACGAGUGGCGAACGGGUGAGUAAUACAUCGGAACGUGCCCAGUCGUGGGGGAUAACUACUCGAAAGAGUAGCUAAUACCGCAUACGAUCUGAGGAUGAAAGCGGGGGACCUUCGGGCCUCGCGCGAUUGGAGCGGCCGAUGGCAGAUUAGGUAGUUGGUGGGAUAAAAGCUUACCAAGCCGACGAUCUGUAGCUGGUCUGAGAGGACGACCAGCCACACUGGGACUGAGACACGGCCCAGACUCCUACGGGAGGCAGCAGUGGGGAAUUGUGGACAAUGGGCGAAAGCCUGAUCCAGCAAUGCCGCGUGCAGGAUGAAGGCCUUCGGGUUGUAAACUGCUUUUGUACGGAACGAAAAAGCUUCUCCUAAUACGAGAGGUCCAUGACGGUACCGUAAGAAUAAGCACCGGCUAACUACGUGCCAGCCGCCGCAGUAAUAC
rnacentral:rRNA from 1 species